ACUGUCAUCCCACGCCAUCCACCACCGUCAAUCCCCAUCCUCCAUCGCCCACGCUACCCCCGCUGUCCAGUGAGUGGCGGAAACCCCCGCCACUCACCGGAUCUAUUCCCGCCGCUUCUUUCGUCGGGGGAUUCCGGCCCUCGGCUACCUAUGUCCUUGCCUUAUCGCCGAUUCCUACCCUCGGCCGCCUAUGUCCAACCCGGAGUUGCCGGUCAGAACUUGAUUCUUUCAAGACCAGACCAGACCGGAGCUUUUUGUCUAAGUUCGGUGGUGGAUGAGUUAGAACUCACGCCUCUCACCAAGCGAAAUCAAAUCUAGGUGAGCAAGAGAGAAGCUGGAGAAGGAGCAGAGGGAGAGGAAACAGAGGGCGAAGCUCAAGCUAGAUAGAGAGAGAAAGGUCAACCAGGAAGCUGCUCGACAACGGGAAGCAACAUAAGCGAUUCAGCGGCAGCGCCGCCUCGAUGCCGCUGAAGCUGAAUUCAAGGUUAAUUAAUUGCGUUGGAUUUUAGUAAAAUGUGAUCUUUAAUUCAAGCAACGGUUAAUCAAGCAGAGUGUUUCACGUUUUCUACGUAUUCUCAAGGUGAAUCAAAUUAAAGCUUCUGUGCCUUCCUCCUUAUUGCCUUCAGUUCUUGGUACUGGCCCAGUAAUUCGUUUGUCCUAAAUCCGUCCAAGUUUACUUACAGGUUACACCCAUUCCUCUCAUUUUUUUUUUAGUUUCUUCAGAGAGCUAACUUUAGUGCAUUUAUUAAAGCUCUCUGUUAGCUAACAUCAUUCAGCCCCAAGAUUUGAAGGAGCUCUGUUCAGUGCUUGUUGUAUAUUCAAGAGAAACUGCAAGGAUGCUU